rnacentral:rRNA from 1 species
GACGUAGGAUGCAAGCGUUGUCCGGAUUUAUUGGGCGUAAAGAGUUCGUAGGCGGUUUGUUAAGUCUGAUGUUAAAGACUGGGGCUCAACCUCGGAAGUGCAUUGGAUACUGGCAGACUGGAGUGCAGUAGAGGCAAGUGGAAUUCCCAGUGUAGCGGUGAAAUGCGUAGAUAUUGGGAAGAACACCGGUGGCGCAGGCGACUUGCUGGGCUGUAACUGACGCUGAGGCGCGAAAGCUAGGGGAGCAAACGGG